UACGAAGGGGGCUAGCGUUGCUUGGAAUCACUGGGCGUAAAGGGUGCGUAGGCGGGUCUUUAAGUCAGGGGUGAAAUCCCGGAGCUCAACUCCAGAACUGCCUUUGAUACUGAGGAUCUUGAGUCCGGGAGAGGUGAGUGGAACUGCGAGUGUAGAGGUGAAAUUCGUAGAUAUUCGCAAGAACACCAGUGGCGAAGGCGGCUCACUGGCCCGGUACUGACGCUGAGGCACGAAAGCGUGGGGAGCAAACAGG
rnacentral:rRNA from 1 species